UGUGUUCCAGUGAGCGUUUUUCAGAACCGAAUCACUUCCCCGUUCAGAACCUCCCCGUCGGAUCCUCCAAAGGAGAUCGUUCUUCAGAACACAGUCACUUUUCCAUCGGAUCCUCUAAAGGAAUUGAUGAUCAUGCUUCAUCUAUAUCACUGGCCCAACUUUCAAAGUCUGAAGGAGACGCACACUUGCUGCUGCUGCUUACACUCGU